AGAGUUUGAUCCUGGCUCAGAACGAACGCUGGCGGCGUGCCUAACACAUGCAAGUCGAACGGAGUGAAGGAGCUUGCUCUUUCAUUUAGUGGCGCACGGGUGAGUAACGCGUAGAUAAUCUGCCUUGGACUCUGGGAUAACAUCUCGAAAGGGGUGCUAAUACCGGAUAAGCCCACGAUGGCGUAAGUCAUUGCGGGAAAAGGGGGCCUCUGAAUAUGCUCCUGAUUCAAGAUGAGUCUGCGUACCAUUAGCUAGUUGGUAGGGUAAGAGCCUACCAAGGCGACGAUGGUUAGCUGGUCUGAGAGGAUGAUCAGCCACACUGGAACUGAGACACGGUCCAGACUCCUACGGGAGGCAGCAGUGGGGAAUUUUGCGCAAUGGGGGAAACCCUGACGCAGCAACGCCGCGUGAGUGAUGAAGGCUUUCGGGUCGUAAAGCUCUGUCUAGAGGGAA
rnacentral:rRNA from 1 species